rnacentral:rRNA from 1 species
GGGCCCGCACAAGCGGUGGAGCAUGUGGUUUAAUUCGAUGCAACGCGAAGAACCUUACCAGGGUUUGACAUGAUACGAAUUUCUUUGAAACGAGAGAGUGCCUUCGGGAGCGCAGUGACAGGUGGUGCAUGGCUGUCGUCAGCUCGUGUCGUGAGAUGUUGGUUAAGUCCCGCAACGAGCGCAACCCACGUCUUUAGUUGCCAGCAUUUAGUUGGGCACUCUAGAGAGACCGCCGGUGAUAAACCGGAGGAAGGUGUGGAUGACGUCAAGUCAUCAUGGCCCUUACGACCUGGGCUACACACGUGCUACAAUGGCCAGUACAGAGGCUGCAACCCGCGAGGGGAGCU